GGACUACCGGGGUAUCUAAUCCCGUUUGCUCCCCUGGCUUUCGCAUCUCAGUGUCAGUUUCGGACCAGAGAGCCGCUUUCGCCACCGGUGUUCCUCCCAAUAUCUACGCAUUUCACCGCUACACUGGGAAUUCCGCUCUCCUCUUCCGUACUCAAGUUCUGCAGUUUCAAAGGCAAUGAUUUGGUUGAGCCGAACCAUUUCACCUUUGACUUACAAAACCACCUACAUGCCCUUUACACCCAAUAAAUCCGGACAACGUUUGCCACCUCUGUAUUACCGCGGCUGCUGGCAC
rnacentral:rRNA from 1 species